rnacentral:rRNA from 1 species
UACAGAGGGUGCAAGCGUUUAAUCGGAAUUACUGGGCGUAAAGCGUGCGUAGACGGUUAUGUAAGUCAGGUGUGAAAGCCCCGGGCUCAACCUGGGAAUGGCAUUUGAGACUGCAUAGCUAGGGUGCGGAAGAGGGAAGCGGAAUUUCCGGUGUAGCGGUGAAAUGCGUAGAUAUCGGAAGGAACAUCAGUGGCGAAAGCGGCUUCCUGGUCCAGCACCGACGUCAGGCACGAAAGCGUGGGGAGCAAACAGG